rnacentral:misc_RNA from 1 species
CGCGCUUCUCUCGAGGUUUUGAGUGUGAUCUGCUUUUUUCAGUUGUGUCUGCACGGAUUGCAUGCUUGGGUGCGGCUGUGUCCGCGCACACGCCCCCAUCCCUCUCUGUGGCUGUCUCUUUCUCUCUGUUGCUUCAUCCUGUUGCACCUUCUCCGUCGACGAUCUCUUCGCCCCUUUUCAGGGAGGCUCCUGUCGGCGUCAUCGGCGUCAUCUGCGCUUGUACAUAAAAGUAUUAUUUCUUUUGCGUUGCGUUGCGCUUUACUCGGCCGGUCUGCCUGCGUUGCCACACCGUCGGCAGCCAUCUCUCCCCAUCUCUCCCCAUCUUUUCCCCCCUCCUCUCUCUCACGCGCAUCCUUCCAAGACUCUUUCUCCCGUUGACUCCAUCUGCGUACGCACGUGUGCGCCACGUGUGUAGGCGCAUCGGGAUCAGGUGUCGAGAUGGCGCUCUCCUCGCAGUGGAGCCAGGCUGUCGUGGUGCGGGCGACGACCAAGGGUGAGGUAAUAGUGCCGCAGCAGCCAAACAACGGUACCGCGCGCGCCAUGGCGGCAGCUGGCAACCCCAUCAUCGUGCGUGCCCGCACAGCCGCCAACUUCGGCGCAGGGGUGACGCCGAAUGCGGAUGGCCGUGGCGACCGUGGCAGUAGCGGGCAUGGCUUCCUCUCUGCCUUCGUCACUGGCUAUGACAUCAGCCAAACUUUCUGGAUGCCAAACCCAAGCAAGGGAGAGAUCGGCCUGCUGGAGUACCUCUAUCGGCGCGGCCCGACGAACAAGUCACACGUGCUGCUGCAGAGUCGCCCGCUCCCGGAGCUACAGUUCAACUUUUCCACGUGCACCGGGUGCAACAUCGACCUCAGCCACAACAUGUUCCGUCUCUCCAAGGCUGCCAUGGCACUCCAGCACAUGGACGCAACGCUCGGCGACGACGCCGACGCCUACGACGACAGUGGAAUGGACAUGAGCGUCGGCGGUAGCGGUGCGGGAGGAUCCACCGGAUGCAACAACUUCUCUUCCAGCUUGUCAUCACCCUCGACGUCAUCUCGGCGGCCGGGGUCGACGCCGCAGCGGAUCAGCAUCUCGACCCGCGCCUUCAAAGCCACCAUGCGGGCGAGUCUGCAGUCCCUUCAGGAAGAAGACUACUACCUCGUCAAGUACCGCGACUACAGCGCCUGGGCUGUUUCCGAGUACCGCAGCAUCUGCAAGACAGACUCCAUAUUUGGCCGCAAGUACGUCGAGCAGUGCUUCGCCGUGCACGUGGGGCGAGAGCCAGGGGAACUGGUGCUCAUCACGGAGGCGCAGUUCCUGUACGGUGUCGACGUGCUGCAGCGGCAGCUGAUAAACCAGCUUACGAACGCCGUGCCGCGUCCACCGGCCGGCUGGGGCGGCGUGGACGCGAACCAGAGCAGCUAUCAGCAGUACCAGAUCGAUAUCAACUACAGCGCCUUGAACGCAGACCAGUUCCGCUCUCUCGGCGCAGUGCUCGGCGACGGCAUGAGGCACGUGGGGGUUACGUGGGAGGAAGAAAGGCGCGCGGAGAAAGCGAAGGCGGAAGCGCGUGCGCGGGCGAGGGGUGGUGACGACGACUAUGAUUACACGCCGCCCGCCUGGUACGACUGGACCCCCAGCGCGAUCCGUGCGCGGGUGCAGCGCCGCCUUCACAGGUGUUACCGUAGUGUUGGCCAGCUCACCGUGCAGCUUGCCGUGGUCGGCGUGUGCGGAUUUCUUGUCUACCGCGCUGUGAAGGGGUACAUUCCCGGCUUGUCCUCGCUGAGCGAUGGCUACCAAGAGGACCGUGGCGGUGGUGGCGGACGUGGGGGCCGCGGCGGCGGCAGUCGUGGAGGGCGAGGAGACGGUCGCUACUGCGACUGCCGCCGUAGCGGUCGCGGCAACGAUGACUACUACUACGACUACCGGCCGGGACUCUUCCGCAGCAUCUUGAUGGGCCCCAAGGAAGUGUUCGACUACAUGCUAGCCCCUACCCCGGAUCGGUAGUGGUGGCCCGAUCUGCAGGCCCUUUGCGUAUGCUGCGCCUGAUUCUCUUCCUCGUCUGCUUUUCUCUAACCCCUCGGUGGCUCUACUCCGCGUAGAUCGUCGUUUGCUUAUGGGACUGGUUUGCGUGUUUGUGUCCAUCAGUGUUCCUGUAUACGUUGCUGUGGCAGGCGUGUCUUCGGUGUGCGCGGAGGCACGUGCAUUUCUACUUGAAGGGAAGAGGUAUGCUGUCGCACCUUAGCUGCCGGUGAAAGACGGCGUGCCCGCAUGGACGUGCUUCCGUGGAGCCGCAUCGCGCAGGAGAGGAGAAACAGGCGCGUACCUACGGAGAGAGGGGGCGGGCGGGGAUGCGGAAGAGGGUCGAGUGCGAUUCAGGUGGGUGAUGGGGCCGAUGGCUAGAGUGCAACGUCCCACGCAUGCAGCCGCUUCCCUCCCGGACUGCCUCUCCACCCACCCACUACUGCUGCACCGCGACAACACUCUCUCUCACCUUUGUGUUCGUACACGCCCCCGCCCUCACACCUUAUAAACGGGGCCGAGAAGAGAGGAAGCCAGUCGUGUCACGCUUCAGCGGCAAUUCUCGCGCGCUCUGUGAGAGUGGGCUCAUCUUCGCGCGUGCGUGCGUGCGUCUUCGUUUCUGUAUCUGUAUGCCGGUAUUCGCUU